UACGUAGGGGGUUAGCGUUGUCCGGAAUCAUUGGGCGUAAAGCGCGCGUAGGCGGCCAGAUAAGUCCGGUGUGAAAGUCACAGGCUCAACCUGUGAAUGCCGCUGGAAACUGUCUGGCUAGAGUCCGGAAGGGGCGAGUGGAAUUCCUGGUGUAGCGGUGAAAUGCGCAGAUAUCAGGAGGAACACCAAUGGCGAAGGCAGCUCGCUGGAACGGUACUGACGCUGAGGCGCGAAAGCGUGGGGAGCGAACAGG
rnacentral:rRNA from 1 species